rnacentral:lncRNA from 1 species
CUAGCAUUCCAUCAAGCGACCUCAUCACAGGGGAAUGAACUUUAUCUCUGAGACUCCUCCCGAGGUCACAUCUGUUGGGAAAAAUCCUUUUUGCGAGUGAAAGGGAGCGAGACAUACAUCACGGCUCCUGCCGAGGACGAACCUGCGGCCCCGCGACGCCCUGCUGACAGAUCGGCGCUGAUAACCCCGCGACGUUCAUUUCCAGCCCCUCUGCCGGCCAAGGACCGUAUCAGUUUGUACACAGUUGUGAUAACCAUUUGGAGGGAGCGAAGAAGGGUUCUCCAGGGAAAGUUCAGAGCAAACGGGACACCCAAACUCGGAGAGCACCUCCGGGCGCGACUGGCGUGGAAACCCCUUUCUACUCUGCGCACUUCAUGGACUAACCUUUCGGUGCACCGUGACCCCGAAUUAAAAGUUUCAGAUCCCAGGAGACAAGACUCCCGACGGCCACCACGACCUGAGCCCCAGAGUCUCGAGAAGAGAUCGGGAGAGUUUAAGGUCGGUCACACACAACUGUGGAGCAAAAAAGUUCAUUUACUGGGUCGAGAGGAGAGGGGAAGGCCGACGGAGGAAAGCACGGUCCCCCCCUUAUUCGGGGGGAGCGCUGACCCCGGAGCUGGAGCGUCGCUCCGGCUGUGGUGGCUGCGUGGGGUUGUGCGUGGUCAACUCCUCCCGCGCCAUCGCCCUCCCCUCCCCCCAACCCGCCCCCUUGAGAGCGCGUGUAACGGAGGGCGGAGGAAUGGGUGUGGGUCGCCAGCCAGAUCAGGCGUUCUGCCACCUCCGCCCCUCCCCCGGCGUCCCGGGGCUCGGCGCCCCCUGG